CGGUUAACGGGAAAAAGUCACCUGGUCUUGGUUUUCUUGAACCUACCGCAGCUGUUAAAACAACCGUGUCACCAUAACGGAUAAGUGCUGCGCCAUUGGCUUGUUUCGCCAUUUGACCGACUUCGAUUACUAAAUCUUUUCCUGCCCAUGUGGACUUGAAUACUUGUUUUUCUGACAUAUUUUAGUCUCCUUUUACAUAGGAGGAGCGCGCCUUGCUAGAAACUUUACCAUGCAUAAUAAUUCUUCACGCACGCCUGAGGAACAUGGAUUUCUCAGACACACAUGAAUCCAAAAACCUACUACUAUCCGUGUACUAGCACGUUUUUGGAUUCAUG
rnacentral:antisense_RNA from 1 species